UACGUAGGGUGCAAGCGUUGUCCGGAAUUAUUGGGCGUAAAGAGCUCGUAGGCGGUUUGUCACGUCGGCUGUGAAAACCCGAGGCUCAACCUCGGGCCUGCAGUCGAUACGGGCAGACUAGAGUAUGGCAGGGGAGACUGGAAUUCCUGGUGUAGCGGUGAAAUGCGCAGAUAUCAGGAGGGAACACCCGGUGGCGAAAGGGCGGGGUCUCUG
rnacentral:rRNA from 1 species